GCACUGGCCUGAUACUCGGUGAACACUGGACGCGCGACCGUGCUGGCCGCGUUCAGCAACAAGCUGCUCUCGUCCCCCGAGACCAGAGGGCUUCUCCCCAGGUUCAGCCAUUUAGGAAAGACCGAUGACCUUUCUGCAUGAUGGCAUUAACUACAAAGAUCAUCCAAGAGCCACAGUCACAAAGCCAGUCUCUGAAUAUGGUUCUUCAAAGAAAUCUUAUAACUGAACAGGUUUACAAAGCCCUCUUGGAGAAGCAGCUUCCUGUGGGAAUGUGGUUAAAUCUCCCAAGCUAGCAGAGUGUUUUUACUACAAUAAGACAGUGAUUAAUUGUGUCCCACUGGGCACUGGCCUGAUAAGUAGAGUUUUGCUCCAGGCUUGGAAGUCUACAGUGGAGAAGUGAGGGAACUUUGGUCAGCUGCUUUUCCUCUCCUCAGCUCCCCUUCUCCCUCAUCGGUUUCUGUUUUUGGCCUCUUCAAAGCUGCAAGAGGGAAGGACAAAAAGGAUUUCCCAAGCUUGGCUAACCUAUGAUUGAAAGUGGGAUCACAAGAAUAAUGAUAACCUGGAUUUCAUUGGCCUUACCCCAUCUGCAAAACUUCAAGUCUCUACAAAGGCCUGAAUCUGCUGUCUCCUCUCUAAGUAUUUUUGGGAAUUCCCACGGGGUGUCUAAUUAUCAGGAACCAAUCUGGUAAGCAGCCUGGCAAGUGGCAUCUGCUUGGCCCUUUCAACUAUUUCUAUGAAUACCAUCAUGUUUCCUUUGGGAUCUGCUUUGGUUUUGGCUAUUUUCUGGACACAAUAGGUACCGCUACUGAUGUAGCAACACUUUCAAAGAGCCAGAGAUCUUUGGCAAAGCCCGAGAGAAUGCCCCUUUUCCCUUUUUUGUUUUGUUCUCUGUGAAAGGAAUACCCUAGUUGUAUAGCUAAUUUGUGUCCACUGCCUUAAAAAGUUUAGGAAGACUACUUAAGGCUUAUCUUUUCAUCCCAUCUACUCCUAAUCCCUAUGGAAUGUUGAGAUCAAGGAUAGCUCUGAAGGACAUACCCCAGGCUGUGCUCAGAAUUACACCUCUCCCCUGAUUAUUAAGGCAUUGCUACCAGAUUGGAUUUGUCAGAGUGGGAUGCCUUACUGAAUUGGAGUUACCCCCCAGGAGGGUCCUGUAGUCUCAUGCAUGUAGGAUUUCAUCAGGUUGCCCCAUCAGUUCUCCAACAUCAGGACCUGUUUGAGCCUUCAAUAGUAGAUGUUGAGACUUCUUCUGCACACUCGAUUUAUAUAAAACUUUUCACUAGUCUCUAAGCAAGGUGAUACACAAUCAUACUUUCAAUUCAUGUCAUAAACUUGGUAUUUAAUUAAUUAAACAUAAGUGAACAAUCCUAUGGAAAUAAUAUUUCCUAGUUUUUUUUUUAACUUGGAGGUUUUGGGGACUUUUUAC